rnacentral:tRNA from 1 species
GCGGGUGUGGCGGAAUUGGUAGACGCACCAGAUUUAGGUUCUGGCGCCUCAGGCGUGGGGGUUCAAGUCCCUCCACCCGCACCA